GACGAACGCUGGCGGCGUGCCUAAUACAUGCAAGUAGAACGCUGAAGAGAGGAGCUUGCUCUUCUUGGUUGAGUUGCGAAACGGGUGAGUAACGCGUAGGUAACCUGCCUUGUAGCGGGGGAUAACUAUUGGAAACGAUAGCUAAUACCGCAUAACAAUAGGUGACACAUGUCAUUUAUUUGAAAGGGGCAAUUGCUCCACUACAAGAUGGACCUGCGUUGUAUUAGCUAGUAGGUGAGGUAACGGCUCACCUAGGCGACGAUACAUAGCCGACCUGAGAGGGUGAUCGGCCACACUGGGACUGAGACACGGCCCAGACUCCUACGGGAGGCAGCAGUAGGGAAUCUUCGGCAAUGGGGGCAACCCUGACCGAGCAACGCCGCGUGAGUGAAGAAGGUUUUCGGAUCGUAAAGCUCUGUUGUAAGUCAAGAACGAGUGUGAGAGUGGAAAGUUCACACUGUGACGGUAGCUUACCAGAAAGGGACGGCUAACUACGUGCCAGCAGCCGCGGUAAUACGUAGGUCCCGAGCGUUGUCCGGAUUUAUUGGGCGUAAAGCGAGCGCAGGCGGUUUGAUAAGUCUGAAGUUAAAGGCUGUGGCUCAACCAUAGUUCGCUUUGGAAACUGUCAAACUUGAGUGCAGAAGGGGAGAGUGGAAUUCCAUGUGUAGCGGUGAAAUGCGUAGAUAUAUGGAGGAACACCGGUGGCGAAAGCGGCUCUCUGGUCUGUAACUGACGCUGAGGCUCGAAAGCGUGGGGAGCGAACAGG
rnacentral:rRNA from 1 species